GCUUUUAGAGAAUUUGCCAUUAUAUGCACAACAGAUUUUUUUAUGUAUAGCUUUUUUAUGUCACUGCCAUUUCAUAUGCAAAGCAUGCAUCCGCCACAACGAGGCUAUCUCCAAGAGCAGUCAUACCGAAACCUGAUCUGGGAGAAAGUGCAGACUAAAUAAAAUUUCAUUUUGACUUGGCCUCCCGCUGAGAAUGGGACUGCUUUGUUUCAGCCAACAGAAGCAGCAAGCCAGAAAGUUCAGUCGUACAUCACUGUACUUUCUUCAGCCCAUUAAUAUCUGGGACCCGGAACUGCACUGCAUACUAAAGUUUCUAAUGCUAAGGGAUUACUGCUGCACAAAUAUGGCAG